GUGCUUGCUUAGUAGCCCAUAUAAUAAAAUUGGAAUGAUACAGAGAAGAUUAGCAUGCCCCUGUGCAGGGAUGACACACAAAUUCACAGAUUCUCCUAGACUUUUC
ensembl:snRNA U6 U6 spliceosomal RNA